CAGAUGAAUAGCAAGGUGUGUACAGGAGCUCUAAAGCAGCAACAGGUAGCCAAACUCAGAACAAUGGCACAUGAUAAACCAGAUUUGUAAGUUUUAGAGGAGGUCAAAAGUGAUGAUCAUGUAUGGAUGAUGAAGAUGAAAACAACUGUGAUGAUGGCCAUGUGAGCCAAAUUUCCUGUGAUAGUGAAAUAGAUCAAGAAUCAACUGAUACAGACCCAGGGAAUGCAGGCCUCCUUGAUUCAGAAGAUGAAGAAAGUAGCAAUGCCAAAAAUAUUGAACACACCAUGACAAAAAGGAUGAAAUGAGACUCUGAAGUACUUCUGAUCUCUAGCAUAAUGGAGUAAAAUGGUUCAAGGUGCUCCCAAAAAGGCAACAAUAAAAUGAAAUGAAGUCAUCAGAACAACCAUUUUAAAACUUAAU